GUACGCCUACGGGGGGCAGCAGUGAGGAAUAUUGGUCAAUGGGCGGGAGCCUGAACCAGCCAAGUCGCGUGAGGGAAGACGGUCCUAUGGAUUGUAAACCUCUUUUGUCGGGGAGCAAAGAGGCCACGUGUGGUCAAAAGCGAGAGUACCCGAAGAAAAAGCAUCGGCUAACUCCGUGCCAGCAGCCGCGGUAAUACGGAGGAUGCGAGCGUUAUCCGGAUUUAUUGGGUUUAAAGGGUGCGUAGGCGGGCUGUUAAGUCAGCGGUCAAAUGUCGGGGCUCAACCACGGCCUGCCGUUGAAACUG
rnacentral:rRNA from 1 species